UAGUGAUUAAGGUGACGUAUGAAAGUCUUAAAAAGGGAAUCUAGUGAGAAGCUAGAACUGCCCCCGCAACUGUAAUUAUGUUAUUUUUAUGAAAGGACAUGCUCACUGUAUGUAGUUGUUUUUUUAAGAAAAGGCAACACAUAUAGGAAGGGGUUCUGGAGAUACAUAUAAGUCAGGAGACCUGCCUAAUCG
rnacentral:ncRNA from 1 species